AUGGCUCAUUAAAUCAGUUAU
rnacentral:ncRNA from 2 species